GACAAAGUCCUGUAUCUUUUCAAGCUUUCCAGAUCCUCUCUUUCAAGAGGCCAAAUGUUCCAUACCACUCCCUUUGAAGCCACAAGAAACUACAGACUGUUCCCAUAUCUAAGUGUGUCUGCCAGUGUGGCUGAAGUUACCCCACCCUAGACAAAGGAAUGUGGUGCAGCUACCUUGAAGAUACUUCCAAGGUUCAUUAAGAGACAAUGGGAAUAUAUUUACAUAAAAGGUAAACUAAGCCAUCAAGCUGAUUAGGGGAGGAGAUAACGAAUCAGCAUCACAGCACGGGGAGGAGAUUGCAGGAACAGGUCAAUUUGCCUUUUAGCAAACAC